AGAGUUUGAUCCUGGCUCAGGAUGAACGCUGGCGGCGUGCUUAACACAUGCAAGUCGAACGAUCCUUCGGGAUAGUGGCGGACGGGUGAGUAACGCGUGGGAAUCUGCCCUUAGGAGGGGGAUAACGGCUGGAAACGGCCGCUAAUACCCCAUAUGCCGAGAGGUGAAACGAAUCUCGCCUGAGGAUGAGCCCGCGUCUGAUUAGCUAGUUGGUGGGGUAAAGGCCUACCAAGGCGACGAUCAGUAGCUGGUCUGAGAGGAUGAUCAGCCACACUGGGACUGAGACACGGCCCAGACUCCUACGGGUCAGCAGUGGGGAAUUUUCCGCGAUGGGCGAAAGCCUGACGGAGCAACGCCGCGUGAGGGAUGAAGGCCUCUGGGCUGUAAACCUCUUUUCUCAAGGAAGAAGAACUGACGGUACUUGAGGAAUAAGCCACGGCUAAUUCCGUGCCAGCAGCCGCGGUAAUACGGGAGUGGCAAGCGUUAUCCGGAAUUAUUGGGCGUAAAGCGUCCGCAGGCGGCCUUGUAAGUCUGUUGUUAAAGCGUGGAGCUCAACUCCAUUUAAGCAAUGGAAACUACAAGGCUGGAGUGUGGUAGGGGCAGAGGGAAUUCCCGGUGUAGCGGUGAAAUGCGUAGAUAUCGGGAAGAACACCAGUGGCGAAGGCGCUCUGCUGGGCCAUAACUGACGCUCAUGGACGAAAGCCAGGGGAGCGAAAGGGACUAGAUACCCCUGUAGUCCUGGCCGUAAACGAUGAACACUAGGUGUCGGGGGAAUCGACCCCCUCGGUGUCGUAGCCAACGCGUUAAGUGUUCCGCCUGGGGAGUACGCACGCAAGUGUGAAACUCAAAGGAAUUGACGGGGGCCCGCACAAGCGGUGGAGUAUGUGGUUUAAUUCGAUGCAACGCGAAGAACCUUACCAGGGUUUGACAUCCUGCGAAUCCCUUGGAAACGAGGGAGUGCCUUCGGGAGCGCAGUGACAGGUGGUGCAUGGCUGUCGUCAGCUCGUGUCGUGAGAUGUUGGGUUAAGUCCCGCAACGAGCGCAACCCACGUCUUUAGUUGCCAGCAUUCAGUUGGGCACUCUAGAGAGACCGCCGGUGAUAAACCGGAGGAUGGUGUGGAUGACGUCAAGUCAUCAUGCCCCUUACAUCCUGGGCUACACACGUACUACAAUGCUACGGACAAAGGGCAGCAAGCUCGCGAGAGUUAGCAAAUCCCAUAAACCGUGGCUCAGUUCAGAUCGUAGGCUGCAACUCGCCUACGUGAAGGAGGAAUCGCUAGUAAUCGCAGGUCAGCAUACUGCGGUGAAUACGUUCCCGGGCCUUGUACACACCGCCCGUCACACCAUGGAAGUUGGCCAUGCCCGAAGUCGUUACUCCAACCCUUGUGGAGGAGGACGCCGAAGGUGGGGCUGAUGACUGGGGUGAAGUCGUAACAAGGUA
rnacentral:rRNA from 1 species